rnacentral:rRNA from 1 species
GACGAACGCUGGCGGCGUGCCUAAUACAUGCAAGUAGAACGCUGAAGGAGGAGCUUGCUUCUCCGGAUGAGUUGCGAACGGGUGAGUAACGCGUAGGUAACCUGCCUGGUAGCGGGGGAUAACUAUUGGAGACGAUAGCUAAUACCGCAUAACAGUAGAUGUUGCAUGACAUUUGCUUAAAAGGUGCAAUUGCAUCACUACCAGAUGGACCUGCGUUGUAUUAGCUAGUUGGUGAGGUAACGGCUCACCAAGGCGACGAUACAUAACCGACCUGAGAGGGUGAUCGGCCACACUGGGACUGAGACACGGCCCAGACUCCUACGGGAGGCAGCAGUAGGGAAUCUUCGGCAAUGGACGGAAGUCUGACCGAGCAACGCCGCGUGAGUGAAGAAGGUUUUCGGAUCGUAAAGCUCUGUUGUAAGAGAAGAACGAGUGUGAGAGUGGAAAGUUCACACUGUGACGGUAUCUUACCAGAAAGGGACGGCUAACUACGUG